rnacentral:rRNA from 1 species
UACGGAGGGUGCAAGCGUUGCUCGGAAUUAUUGGGCGUAAAGGGUAGGUAGGUGGUCUCAUUUGUCUGGGGUGAAAGCCUUGAGCUUAACUCAAGAAGUGCCUCAGAAACGGUGAGACUAGAGUUCUGGAGAGGGUCGUGGAAUUCCCGGCGUAGCGGUGAAAUGCGUAGAGAUCGGGAGGAACACCAGAGGCGAAGGCGGCGACCUGGACAGAUACUGACACUCAACUACGAAAGCGUAGGGAGCAAACAGG